rnacentral:rRNA from 1 species
AAUCAACGCUGGCGGCGUGCCUCAGACAUGCAAGUCGAACGCGAAAGUUCCCUUCGGGGAGCGAGUAGAGUGGCGCACGGGUGAGUAACACGUGGGUAAUUUGCCUUCGGGUGGGGAAUAACAGUCGGAACGACUGCUAAUACCGCAUGAUGCAGCGGCGCCACAUGGUGACAGUUGUUAAAGCGGGGGAGUCGCAAGACCUCGCGCCUGAAGAGAAGCCCGCGGCGGAUUAGGUAGUUGGU